rnacentral:rRNA from 1 species
AGUGAACGCUGGCGGCAGGCCUAACACAUGCAAGUCGAACGGCAGCACAGGAGAGCUUGCUCUCUGGGUGGCGAGUGGCGGACGGGUGAGGAAUGCAUCGGAAUCUGCCCAUUUGUGGGGGAUAACCUCGGGAAACCGGGACUAAUACCGCAUACGGCCUACGGGUGAAAGCAGGGGAUCUUCGGACCUUGCGCAGAUGGAUGAGCCGAUGCCGGAUUAGCUAGUUGGAGGGGUAAAGGCCCACCAAGGCGACGAUCCGUAGCUGGUCUGAGAGGAUGAUCAGCCACACUGGGACUGAGACACGGCCCAGACUCCUACGGGAGGCAGCAGUGGGGAAUAUUGGACAAUGGGCGCAAGCCUGGUCCAGCCAUGCCGCGUGUGUGAAGAAGGCCUUCGGGUUGUAAAGCACUUUUGUUGGGAAAGAAAAGCAGCCGGUUAAUACCCGGUUGUCAUGACGGUACCCAAAGAAUAAGCACCGGCUAACUUCGUG